rnacentral:tRNA from 1 species
GCCGGGGUAGCUCAAUGGUAGAGCGGAGCUCUCAUAAGGCUUAAACGUGGGUUCGAUUCCCACCCUCGGCA